AGAAACUGCCCUUCCUUUAGAUAGAGAUUGCAUAGAAAAAGAUAGCAGAUAAGCUCCUUCUCCUGAGCUCUUUACCACAAGGUUCUUUCGUUGGAGGAAUUUGUUUGAAUUAUUUGUUUUUGUUCGCUGGGACUAGAACUGAGAGUGUCUGUCCUUUGAUGCCGAUUCAAGUUAUUGGUAGAUGUCCUGCAUCAGUUGGAAUAAUCAACAAUCCGUAAAUGGAAAUACAUAAGGUUCCGACAGUACUUUGUUGGACUGCAAGCAUUAGAUUGGUGUCUUCUGGUUACAGCUGUGGCUGGAAUUUUGGUCUUUCAGCAGCUGCGGUAGCACUGGUUCUUGGAAAGUGUAUUUUAGAUGCUCAUUAGUCCUGCUGUGCCUGGGCUGUUGUAAGAUGUACAUUUGUUGUAGCAAGCUUUGCAGAAAAUGAGCUGACUAUAUUCUUGCAAGUAUGUCUAAUCAGUAAACUUGCUAAUAUCUAGCUGAAUAUCUUAUGAUGUGUAUCAUCUUUCUCACAAGAUUCGGUCAUUGGGGACGACCAUGUAAUUGUAUAACAUCUUGAGCAUUGAAGGUUC